GGGCGCAUAGCUCAGUUGGUUAGAGCGCACGGUUCACAUCCGUGAGGUCGAUGGUUCGAGUCCAUUUGCGCCCACAA
rnacentral:tRNA from 1 species